rnacentral:rRNA from 1 species
UGGGGAAUAUUGGACAAUGGGGGAAACCCUGAUCCAGCCAUACCGCGUGUGUGAAGAAGGCCUUAGGGUUGUAAAGCACUUUCAGUAGGGAGGAAAAGGUUCCGGCUAAUAUCCGGAAUCCCUGACGUUACCUACAGAAGAAGCACCGGCAAACUCCGUGCCAGCAGCCGCGGUAAUACGGAGGGUGCAAGCGUUAAUCGGAAUUACUGGGCGUAAAGCGCGCGUAGGCGGCUUGGCAAGCUGGAUGUGA